UCUUCAUCCUGCCACUCCUCCUUCAGCUCCAAUUCUGCAAGUCUCACGGAUGCUCCUAGUCCUGCUGCUUCUGCAUUCUCCCUGACCCUAAGAUAGUCCCCCAGCCCCCGGAAGAAAAGAUUAUCAUGAGACAAACUAGAUUUACGAGAACAGGACAAGUGCACCUGACCCUGGAGCAAUGAAGACAGAAUUGCUGAAGCCUCUCAAAACAUGCAUUCGAGGCUCAGAAGUCAACUGACUUGCUUUAGCUCAAAGAGAAGCAAGUGGCAAAUCUGGGGCAGAAAAGCACGUCUAUCUGCCUUUAAACACUGUAGUCUUUCCUCAGUGCCACACUUCCUCCACUGAAUGAAGUUACACUUGCUUCCUCGAGGAGAAGACAAAGGCAGAGAAGUGUGGGAAAGGGCGGACGUACCUUUUACAGGCUCAAAGGAUUAUCUGGCUGCAUUCAGACCAGUCUUCAGCAGUCAUCACACAGCCCAAGCAACCCAAAGAGGCCCUGGACUGCCUUAAGUCCACUUUCAAAUUCUUCCCUGGGCUAAUGAGUAACCAAAAGAGGAAAAGAAAGGGGAGGGGCUGGGAAAGGGGCCAAAUGGAAGACCAGGCAGGAAAACAAACCUGCUCCGGGGCCCCUUCUCCACAGUCAGCUGCACAGAGCGAUUACUCCCCGCAGGGUGAGGAGUAGAAAAAGUUCCUUUUGUGUUUCCCCCUUUCAGGCC